rnacentral:rRNA from 1 species
CCGCACAAGCGGUGGAGCAUGUGGUUUAAUUCGAUGCAACGCGAAGAACCUUACCAGGGUUUGACAUAAUGUGAAUUUCUUUGAAAGAAGAAAGUGCCUUCGGGAACACAUAUACAGGUGGUGCAUGGCUGUCGUCAGCUCGUGUCGUGAGAUGUUGGGUUAAGUCCCGCAACGAGCGUAACCCUUGUUUUUAGUUACCUUUAUUUGGAUAUCUAGAAAGACUGCCGAUUAUAAAUCGGAGGAAGGUAAGGACGACGUCAAGUCAUCAUGCCCCUUACACCCUGGGCUACACACGUGCUACAUUGGGUAGAACAGUGAGUCGCUAAGUUGUGAAACCAAGCUAAUCUUCAAAUCUACUCUAAGUUCGGAUUGUAGGCUGCAACUCGCCUACAUAAAGAUGGAAUCGCUAGUAAUCGCUGGUCAGCUACACAGCGGUGAAUCCGUUCCCGGGCCUUGUACACACCGCCCGUCACACCAUGGAAGCUGGUCAUACCCAAAGUCGUUAUUCUAACCGUAUGGAGGAAGGCGCCUAAGGUAGGAUUGGUGACUGGGGUGAAG